AUUGAACGCUGGCGGCAGGCCUAACACAUGCAAGUCGAGCGAGCGGCGGACGGGGGAGUAAUGUCUGGGAAACUGCCUGAGGGAGGGGGAUAACUACUGGAAACGGGAGCUAAUACAGCAUACCAUCAGAUGUGCGCAGAUGGGAGUAGCUAGUAGGUGGGGUAACGGCGCACCUAGGCGACGAUCCCUAGCUGGUCUGAGAGGAUGACCAGCCACACUGGAACUGAGACACGGUCCAGACUCCUACGGGAGGCAGCAGUGGGGAAUAUUGCACAAUGGGCGCAAGCCUGAUACAGCCAUGCCGCGUGUGUGAAGAAGGCCUUCGGGUUGUAAAGCACUUUCAGCGGGGAGGCGUUACCCGCAGAAGAAGCACCGGCUAACUCCGUGCCAGCAGCCGCGGUAAUUC
rnacentral:rRNA from 1 species